GCUGGAAUAGCUCAGCUGGUAGAGCAACUGAUUUGUAAUCAGUAGGUCGCAAGUUCGAAUCUUGUUUCCAGCACCA
rnacentral:tRNA from 1 species